rnacentral:rRNA from 1 species
UCCUACGGGGCGCAGCAGUGAGGAAUAUUGGUCAAUGGGCGCGAGCCUGAACCAGCCAAGUCGCGUGAGGGAAGACGGUCCUAUGGAUUGUAAACCUCUUUUGUCGGGGAGCAAAAGACGCCACGCGUGGCGUUCCGAGAGUACCCGAAGAAAAAGCAUCGGCUAACUCCGUGCCAGCAGCCGCGGUAAUACGGAGGAUGCGAGCGUUAUCCGGAUUUAUUGGGUUUAAAGGGUGCGUAGGCGGUCCGUUAAGUCAGCGGUAAAAUUGCGGGGCUCAACCCCGUCGAGCCGUUGAAACUGGCAGA